GGUCAAGCUACAAAGAGCACAAGGGGAAUGCCUUGGCACCGAGAGCCGAAGAAGGACGUGACUAACUGCGAUAAGCUGCGGGGAGCCGUAAGUAGGCUUUGAUCCGCAGAUUUCCGAAUGGAGCAAUCCGGCAAGAGGAAAGUCUUGUCAUCAUAUACUGAAUACAUAGGUAUAUGAGGGGAACCGCCUGAACUGAAACAUCUAAGUAGGGCGAGGAAGAGACAUCAAACGAGAUUCCGUAAGUAGUGGCGAGCGAACGCGG
rnacentral:ncRNA from 1 species